rnacentral:tRNA from 1 species
UAAAGCCCCUUCAACUCCU